UUGAAAGGGAAACGAUUGAAGUCAGUCAUGCCGGUGGGAAUCAACUUAGGGGAAACUCUAGGUGCACUUCUUCGCUUGGCAGGUCAACGUCGAUUUUGAAUGUCAUAAAAUAAUUGGGGGAAGGUAGCUCCUUCGGGAGUGUUAUAGCCCUUGAUAGAUGUGAUGUUUGGGGUCGAGGAUUGCAACGGAUACCCUCUGGGGCUAGCCGCCUGAUCUCUAAUCGCUGUUGGGUUACGGAUAGCAUGCUGAUCUAUAUUCCUGUUAAAAGUUUAGAGUGGCAUAAAUUUUAAGGAUGUUGACGUA
rnacentral:rRNA from 1 species